UACAGAGGUCUCAAGCGUUGUUCGGAAUCACUGGGCGUAAAGGGUGCGUAGGCCGCACGGAAAGUCAGAGGUGAAAUCCCGGAGCUCAACUUCGGAAUUGCCUCCGAUACUCCCCGUGCUUGAGGACUGGAGAGGAGUCUGGAAUUCACAGUGGAGCAGUGAAAUGCGUAGAUAUUGUGAGGAACACUAGUGGCGAAGGCGAGACUCUGGACAGUUCCUGACGCUGAGGCACGAAGGCCAGGGGGAGCAAACGGG
rnacentral:rRNA from 1 species